AGCAAAGCAAAGCAACGCAACGGAAAAGCUGAAGCCAGAAUUUAAAGCGGUGAAGCAAAACCAUUUGUUUUUUUUUUAUUUUUUUUAUUUUAUUCUUCUCUCCGUUUCACACCUCGAUUUGCACCGGCAAAUGCCUCCCUCCUCGCCCGCCUUGAUUGCAAUGCUGCACUUUCCGGCGUAACACCAGACAAAAAACCGACGCACCGGAAGUUACUGGACUUUGUGUUUUUCUCCGCUCCGCUCCUCUCCCAUCCCAUCCCAAGGUCCUCCUUGUUUGUUAUGAAUCCCGUUUCUGCAGACCCGACGGCGCCGCCUCCGCCGCUGCAGCCGCCGAGAUCUUCCUUCAGCUGCGACCGCCACCCGGACGAGCAGUUCACCGGCUUCUGCCCGGCCUGUCUCUGCGAGCGUCUCACCACGCUGGAUCAGUCAUCUGCCAACACUCCUUCCUCCUCUCGCCGCCCUUCCUCCGCUUCGGCCGCCGCUGCCGCCGCCAUCAAAUCCUUCUUCACCUCCACCUCCAAGUCCAACAGCAACGCUCCCCCUCCUCCUCCCCCUCCGCCACCGCUUCCCAAGGCCUCAAAGCCAGCUUCGUCUUCGUUUUUCCCCCAACUCCGUCGCACCAAAUCAUUUUCCGCCUCGAAAAACGAGGCUUUAGGCCCAUCGUUUGAGCCGCAGAGAAAAUCCUGCGAUGUCCGGGGGAGGAGUACUCUCUCAUCUCUCUUUACACUCGACAACGAGAACAAGAGCGGUGCCAGUUGUAACAUACCUUCCUCCAUUUUCCUCUCCGUCCCCGCCCCUUCCUCCUCUCACCAAAACCAUCCCAAUAUAAAAAAGAUUGAGCCUUCCGCAGUUGGCGAAAUUGUUGUCGAGGAAGCGGAGAAGAACGAGGGUUUUAGAGAGAGUGAGAAUGUGGGGGAGGGUGGCGUUGUGUACGAUGAUAACAGUGACAGCAACGGCGACGAGAUAAGGCCCGUUAGGGAUUCUCAUUUGGAGAGUUUGAGAAAUUUGGAGAAAUCCGCGGCGAAUAGUGACGCUAUUGUGGAGGAGCAAGUGGUGGGUGAUGCCCCUAGUUUGAAGCCAAUGAAGGACCACAUCGACAUCGACGCGCAGGAGAAGAAGAGCAGUGGCGGGGGGCUUUGGGCUGCCGCAUCUGUUUUCAGCAAGAAAUGGCACCAAUGGAGGCGCAAACAGAAGGUGAAGAAGGAGAACAAUGGCAACGGAUAUGCUACGUCUACAUUGCCUGUGGAGAAGCCCAUCUCUAGUCAGUACAGGGAGACACAAUCGGAGGUUGCCGACUAUGGUUUUGGGAGAAGGUCCUGCGAUACCGAUCCCAGGUUUUCUCUUGAUGCUGCCAGGUUUUCACUUGAUGCUGCAAGAAUCAGCUUUGACGAUCCUCGCUAUUCGCUGGAUGAACCUCGAGCAUCUUGGGAUGGUCAUUUGAUUGGGAAAAGCUUUCCGAGAAUGGCGCCUAUGGUUUCUGUCAUGGAGGAUGCCCCAGCUGCGCAGGUCUCGCGCCCUGAUAUGCAAAUUCCAGUGGAGGAGCCACUUCUGAACUGUGCUAAUGAGGUGGAUGGUGAGCCCGGUGGGACGGCACAGACUAGGGACUAUUACUCCGAUCCUUCUAGGAGGAGGAAGAGUCUUGAUAGGUCUAGUUCAAUUAGGAAGACCGCAGCUGCUGUAGUGGCCGAGAUUGAUGAAACAAAGACAGCUUCUAAUGCGAAGGUGUCACCUGCAGCUGCAGAUCCUUUUCAGGGAUCGAGAGUGAUGGCAGGGGAAAGAGAGAAGGACGGUGGUUCCGAGACUUUCGAGUUGGAUAAUGGAUAUAAGGAUAGAAGCAACUCUGCAGUAGGGAAUGGAGAGAAGGAGCCCAGAAAGUCUAAGAAAUGGAGUUGGAAACUAUGGGGUUUUAUGCAGCGGCGCAACAGUGGGAGUAAGGACAAUGAAGAGGACAAACACAAUAAAGCAAAUGGAGUGACUAGGUCAUACUCCGCAUCGUGGCAGGACUCGAGGAAGGAAGUAAAUGGAGAUGUGAGGAGUGGAUUCCAUAUGAAUAUGUUUCGGAGCAAUAGCAGUGUGAGUUGGAGAAAUUCCAAUCACAUUGGAGGAUCAUUUGGGAGCAUGAGGAAAGCAGGAGUUGACGUUAAUGGGCAUGGAAAGAAGAGCAAGGAUGGUUUUGUGUUGGAGAAGAAUAGGAGUGCAAGAUUUUCACCCAACCAUGUCGAUAAUGGUCUUCUGCGUUUGUACCUGGCACCAUUGAGGGGGAGCCGAAGAGGAGGAUUGAACAAUAAAAUCAAGUCCAAUAAUUCCCAAUCAAUUGCAAGGAGUGUGCUGAGGCUAUAUUGAGAUUCAAGGUCCUUUACUUGCCCUUUAUUUAUUGAAUUAAUGCUUGCUGCAUGUUUUCGUGUAAUCUUAUCUGCCGACUAGAUCUAGUUCGAUUGCAUUGCCUUAAAUGUUUUGAUCAGGAUACCGUUAUGAUUAUUACAAUAACGACAAACGAGGUAUCUUUGUCUCUGAUUCCAUUAUGGCGGGCGCAAUUUGUUUUUAUGGAAGAGGAAGCUGGAUUCAUGCAGCGGUGGAGCUGUUGAAGCAGUGUAAAGAUUGUUAGCAUUGGAAAAGGAACUUGUUAUUUGUUGGGCUGGCAUCUCCAUCCACAACCAGAUUAGAUUGAUUUGGAGGCCAUCUAGAUUGCGAUGAUGUCUGAAAUACCUGGUAUACCUAGCUAGUGUGUAGUAGUAGCAAACAUAAGAUAGAAGAAGAAAACGAUAGUGAUACCCCACCCCCAUUUCAACAUUAUGUGAGAGGGAUAUUAUUCUCUUCCCAGUAUUGACUUUGGAAUAAGAACAACAACAACAAUAUUAUUAAUAAAUAGAGUUGAGUAAUGUCAUAUUGGAUUUG